CGUGGAUAAUCUGCCCUCAGGUGAGGAAUAAUCCCGGGAAACUGGGGCUAAUACCUCAUAGGAGACGGCUGCUGGAAUGCUCUGUCUCUGAAAGGUCUGCCGCCUGAGGAUGAGUCUGCGUCCGAUUAGGUUGUUGUUGGGGUAACGGCCCACCAAGCCUUUGAUCGGUACGGGUUGUGGGAGCAAGAGCCCGGAGAUGGAUUCUGAGACAUGAAUCCAGGCCCUACGGGGCGCAGCAGGCGCGAAAACUUUACAAUGCGAGCAAUCGUGAUAAGGAAACCCUGAGUGCCUGUUAUCACAGGCUGUUCUGGUGUCUAACCCACACCAGGAGAAAGGGCGGGGCAAGACCGGUGCCAGCCGCCGCGGUAAUACCGGCUGCUCGAGUGAUAGCCACUUUUACUGGGCUUAAAGCGUUCGUAGCUUGGUCGUUAAGUCUCUGGGGAAAUCUUUUGGCUCAACCAAAAGGCGUCUCAGGGAAACUGGCGACCUAGGAACCGGGAGAGGUAAGACGUACUUCGGGGGUAGGAGUGAAAUCUUGUAAUCCCCGAGGGACGACCGAUGGCGAAGGCAUCUUACCAGAACGGCUUCGACAGUGAGGGACGAAAGCUGGGGGAGCAAA
rnacentral:rRNA from 1 species